GACGAACCGAGCGAACGUUGUUCGGAAUCACUGGGCUUAAAGGGCGCGUAGGCGGGUGCUCAAGUCCGGGGUGAAAUCCUCCAGCUCAACUGGGGAACCGCGUCUGAUACUGGAUGGCUUGAGUUUGGGAGAGGGAUGCGGAAUUCCAGGUGUAGCGGUGAAAUGCGUAGAUAUCUGGAGGAACACCGGUGGCGAAGGCGGCAUCCUGGACCAACACUGACACUGAGGAGCGAAAGCCAGGGGAGCAAACGGG
rnacentral:rRNA from 1 species